UGUGAGACCAUUUUGCAAAUCGAAGAGGCAGCUUUGCUUCACAGGGCGAGGAUUUCAGUGUGAAUAUUUUAAGUCAACAAUUCUGAAAAUGGGAGGAAAUGAAAGGUCCUUCAGAAAUCACUGACUCAUGCAAGCUGGCACCUUUAUUGGCAGGCAAGCAUUUCUGAGCAUUGGGAUGCCUGUCAUCAACAUGACUAGCCUGAAAAAGAUGUAUUGGUAUUUGCCUGUUGAAAUGCUUUUGGAUGACUGGCCAGACAGACUGCUGUGGCACUGAUACUUGACAUCUGGCCAAAAGGAUCUGGGAUAGUGGAGAUGCAGUUGUUUUUCAGGUUGAAGAGGAAGCUUCCACUGUAUACCUAUAACAGGACCAUCCAGCCAGCAGUCCUGCUUUGCCAGUGCCCUGGCUUUCCUGGCAGGACUUACUGCUCCCAGCUGCAAGUCACACAUGGCAGAGUAAUCUAUGGCUGUCUCUGGCCAGCUGCAAUCAUACUGCAAUGACCAAAAGGCCUCAGCUGGGAUGGAGCCUUCUGCCUUGGAAAAGUCUCAGCCCCACCUGCAGUAUGGAACUGAAGACCAAGCUGAGCACAGCUGAAAGCAGCAAGAAGCCUUUGGAAAGCUUUAAAUGAUGGCGUGUCCUUUCUUUCCAUGCCUCCUGGAACAGGUCUCCAAUGUAAAGGUUUGGCCAGACUUCGUCCACAUGCCCUGCUGGGGGUGUGUGUCUCCACAGCAGGCGCCGCAGCUCCUCCAGGGAUGGUGUUCCAGCACUCUGGCUGCCCGGGGUCCAGACUGAGGCACUUCGUAUCUUGGGGCGCAGUAAGUCCCUGCUGCACAGGGAGUCCCAGGCCAUCCUGAAAGUGGAAGCUCCCGCGCUGUGGUGCCUUAGAUUACCUUUGAAUCGUACCACUUGGUUCCCUCCUAGCGGGUCAGUUGCACAACG